AUUGAACGCUGGCGGCAGGCCUAACACAUGCAAGUCGAGCGGAUGAAGGGAGCUUGCUCCUGGUUUCAGCGGCGGACGGGUGAGUAAUGCCUAGGAAUCUGCCUGUUUGUGUUGGAUAACGUCCGGAAACGGGCGCUAAUACCGCAUACGUCCUUAGGGCGAAAGGGGGGGAUCUUCGGACCUUACGCUAUUAGAUGAUCCUAGGUCGGAUUAGCUAGUUGGUGGGGUAAAGGCCUACCAAGGCGACGAUCCGUAACUGGUCUGAGAGGAUGAUCAGUCACACUGGAACUGAGACACGGUCCAGACUCCUACGGGAGGCAGCAGUGGGGAAUAUUGGACAAUGGGCGAAAGCCUGAUCCAGCCAUGCCGCGUGUGUGAAGAAGGUCUUCGGAUUGUAAAGCACUUUAAGUUGGGAAGAAGAGCAGUAAGUUAAUACCUUGCUGUUUUGACGUUACCAACAGAAUAAGCACCGGCUAACUUCGUG
rnacentral:rRNA from 1 species